UGAGGAGAGAGGGGAGACCACAAUGAGAUGCUGCAAAUAUCCAGAGGUGCAUGGACUGAAGGAAGCUGAGACAUUGGAGCUAAGGGGGUCGGGAGUGGGGAGCUGGUGUCUGCUGUGGAGGAAAGCCAAGAAGAGCAGCCAUUGUGUUUACUUUCAAAAGAGUGGGGCUAUCUUCAGUCACCCACUGUGACCCCAAACUGUGAAAGACGGAUGAGAGGAGCCAGGAGAAGAAAUCAAAUAUUUCUCUGCUGAGCUAGUCCCUGGAUUUUAUCAAAGGGGACUCCACAGACUUCCCAGAAGAUCCACAAUACUUGGGACACCCUCCACCCCCACCAGCUCAAAAGACAUGAUCCAAGGGCUAAAGCCAAACUCCAGUUCAGGAUCCUCCUCUCUGUCUCCAUUAGACCCUUAUUCUUCAGCCCAGACUCCACCCAGUUUAGCCUGACCCUGCCCAGUCUUCCCCUGAGUUCCUAAUUUGGCCUGUCCAAUGUUUGCAACCCCACUGUGCCACCAGUGAGAACCACAGGAAGCCAGCCUUGUUCUCAGUGCCCAGGUUCUCAGAGGAGAGUAACCAAGAAGAAACCUUUGAUGCUUGGCCAGAAGUCUCUGCCUCCCUGAAAUU
rnacentral:lncRNA from 1 species